GACAUUAACUUAACAAGUGUUAAGUAGAUGUGACAAUUCAUUUCCAUAAGGCCAAAGGAAAAACACAAUUAAAGGUGAAUAUGAAUUACAAACUAGAUGCAGAAUUUAAUCAAACACAAGGAGUGCUAGAACAUGAACCGAAUUGAAUUAAAGGAAGCAAAAACAAGAACAAGACAUAUUUUGGAAUUGAAAAUAGGAAUGGAAAAAGAUGAGUGAAAGGAAACUUAGGAGAUGGUGAAAUUGUGAAUGAGCACGACACUUGGAUGGUGAAUUGAAUCCAAGAUAACUAUAGAUGCCGCCACUUGAGAGCUC
rnacentral:lncRNA from 1 species